GGUAAGCAUUUUUCUUUCUGAUGGAAAAUUAAAACACACAAAAAUCAAAUCAAACUCCAUAGAUACGUUGAGAUCAACUGCUUUUAUUUUCUUUCUUUCAUUCCUUCCUUCACGAUGUCUUCUAGUAAACCGGUAUUGUUUGACACUCUUGAAAAUGAAUCAGAAAUAAAAGAGUAAUCUAUGAUGGAAUCACUAACACUCUGCGUUUUUGGUUGUGGAGGAUAGAAAAUUGCCGACAGUUCAUCAAAUGGAGAUGAACGAGGAAGAUUUUGUUGUCGUUUCUUCUUCUGCACCCGACCAUGAUUUGAUUGUUUUUGUAAGUUUUUUUCAUGUGAGAAACAUUUACCCUUAGAAGUCGGUUUUUUGUGAACUAAAUAUGAUUCUAGCAUGCGCGGUGAAUUUUCUGACAAAUGGUUGAUGAUCUACUCAUUGUCCGUUCUUCUUGCAUGUUUACUCCAUUUUGUAGCUUCAAUCAUAAAACUGCCAAUGUUCUUGCAUGUUUACGAAUGGUUGACGAUUUACUCAAAGUCCUUCGUCUUUUGUCUAUUCCGUUAUAGUAUUGACAAUUAUUUUUUUCGUUUGUGUAUGUUCAUGGCAUUUUUCCUUAUGAAUAGUUGUCUAAUUAAAUGUUUGUAAGUAUUGAAUUCUCUGUAUUCGUCCUUCUUUUUUAAUAACUAGGUGAGUUGCCACGCUACGCGUGGAUUGUUGUUUUGAAAAUUGUUUAAAAA
rnacentral:sRNA from 1 species